CCUACGGGCGGCAGCAGUGGGGAAUAUUGGACAAUGGGCGAAAGCCUGAUCCAGCCAUGCCGCGUGUGUGAAGAAGGCCUUCGGGUUGUAAAGCACUUUCAGUGGGGAAGAAAGCCUUGGGGCUAAUACCCUCGAGGAAGGACAUCACCCACAGAAGAAGCACCGGCUAACUCCGUGCCAGCAGCCGCGGUAAUACGGAGGGUGCGAGCGUUAAUCGGAAUUACUGGGCGUAAAGCGCGCGUAGGCGGUCUGAUAAGCCGGUUGUGAAAGCCCCGGGCUCAACCUGGGAACGGCAUCCGGAACUGUCAGGCUAGAGUGCAGGAGAGGAAGGUAGAAUUCCCGGUGUAGCGGUGAAAUGCGUAGAGAUCGGGAGGAAUACCAGUGGCGAAGGCGGCCUUCUGGACUGACACUGACGCUGAGGUGCGAAAGCGUGGGUAGCAAACAGGAUUAGAUACCCGUGUAGC
rnacentral:rRNA from 1 species